CAACAGCAAGUCCCUGCAAAGUUUAUAGUCAUAUAGAAUUAAGUAAUUCAGCAUGCUGCUUAAUACUAGAUCAAUAUGUGAAAUAAAUUACAAUUCUUUAUAUCAGUAAUAGAUAAAAAUGUAAAAUUACCCUUUACAACAGCAACAGAAAAUAUGAAAUGCUAGGGAAUAAUUCUAAUAAAAAGAGGAGCUGACCAAUGUGGAAAAGAUAGAAAGCUUUACUGAAAUACACUUAAAGACAUAAGUAAAUGGAGACAUACUAUUUUUAUGAAUAGGAAGACUCAUAAAAAUAUCUGUUUUUUCAAAAUCUACAAAUUCCAUGUAAGUCCAAUGAAAAUACUAACAGGCUUUUUCCUGGAACCUGAUGGUUGAAUAAACAAUUUAUAUGGAAGAGUAAAGGAACAAGAAAAGUUAAAGUGAUUUUUGAUGGAUAAGAAGAGCAGGAAGAAUUGACAUACAAAUGGUGCAGGCUUAUUAAAAACAUCAGUGAACGAGGCAGUGUGGCACCAGCACAGGGAUACACAAACAGAUAAAGUAAAGGGAGGAGACUGGAGAACCCAGUAACAGCCCCCCACGUAUGACAAUAUGUGACAGCAGUGACAUCAUAAUCAGUAGGGGUGGGGUAAGGAUGGACUAGUCAGUCAAUGAUGGUUAUUUAAAUAGAAAAAAGAAUUGGAUCUUUGACUAAAGAACAACAAAAACCCAAACAAAAAAUCCAGGUGGAUUAAAGACCUAAAUAUGAAAAGAAAUACAGAAGAAAACAGAUGUAGGGGAGGACUUCCUGAGUAAAACACAAAAAGCACAAAGUAAAAGUUCAACAACAAACUUACUGAGAACAGAUGAAUGAAACCUUGCCUGUCCUAUAAGGAAUACAGUCAUCUGCCAGAAGAAAAAUGGUGAUUCUUCCCAGUCCAAAGGUGAAGAUGGUGACUGUGAAAGUAUCAGCUUUAGCCAGACCACUGAUGAAGCUCCCAGAUGUCACAGCAUCCAUGGGCUUGUGAUCUCAGGUGAAGGCAUUGAACCCUGAGCCCUGGAUUCCCAUCUCUUCACUUGCUCCCUCCACCACCCCACCCCCAUAUUCAGAAUGGCCUCUAGGCUUCUAGGUUUGUGUCUUUAAUGGCACCUAGGCAAUAAAUAAAAAAUACAGUGCAGUGCUGACUGCAUCUUCCCUACA